AGUAUCCAGGGAUGGGAAUCGAACCCACAGUGUUCCGCUUACCGGGAAGAUGCCAUGUCCACUAGGCACACAUGGUUAC
rnacentral:tRNA from 1 species